CCUCCUUUCCCCUCCUUUCCUCUCCACACCUUUUCCACACCCACUGUCUGCUUGAGCUCUUCCUCUUUCAAGAAGUCUGCUCUGCCAACCACAGCCCAGCUGGCUUCCCUUUGUCCUCCUAGCUGGCGCUGGUGGCUGGGCCUGCACAGCAUGUUAGUGAAUCAUUACACGGUGUCUUUCCUGGGGAGGCAAAGCAAACACGGCAGCAUUCUAAGACCCACGGCACACGGCCCAGUUCAGAGCUCAUAAGAGCUAGACAAGCACUCGGUGAAUACGACAUUACUUCCCCACAAAUUCCACUCUCAAAAAGGUAAAUAAUUCCCUGGGCAACAAUAAGGAAAUCGCAAGGUAGCAUGAGUAAUCGCCGGCUGUGUGCGUGUAUUUGUGUAUGAACUCCCUUUGGACUCGCUCACCCGGAGCGCACAGGCCCGGGACCCAGGCCCACGUGAUCGGAACAGGCAAACCCUCCCCGCCACCCUCCCCGAAAAGACGCCACGUGGUGUGCCGCAGCGUGGAUCGGCGAGGGCCCCCCCCCCCCCCCAGCUCCAGCACAGCAAUGCCAUCGCCGAACGUUCCGCCACUAACACCCCGCUCGCCAUGGUUCGAAGGCUAUUUGGUCUUUAAGAAUGCUUCUCCCAAUUCAGAUGCCACUCUGCGGCUCAAAACCCGCUGGCAUCUGAGCCCGAGGGAGGCUCUGGAAGAGAGGAGGGGGUGUUCACGGGGGAGACAGAAAACACCACACUGGUGGAGGCUCUCUUGAGACAGGAGGGGAAACAGGGCCGCUGUGUUGGCAAAUGUCAGCGAGUUUGGUAACACUUCACAUAAGAGGGCAUGGGACCAGAGCACCCUCAUCUACCGCUGGAGUGUAUCUUUCUAAACUUUUAUGGAGAGCGGUCUGCUGAUAUCUUUCAAAAUCCAAACACACACCCUUCCGGCCCUUCAAUUCCUCUCCCGAGACUUUAUCCCACAUGAACCGCCUACUGCAAAAUGACUAGAUGACAAGGCGAUUCAGUGGGACGUUGUUUGUGACACCCCAAAACCAGGAGAUUCAUCAAAUAAACGUGCGACAUCCACGCAGUGGCACAUUCUACAGCCGUGAACACUCGAGGGACCAAUCUGGAAGCAUCCCAAGAGAGCUAAGUGGGGAAACGACAAAUGAAGGGCACCCAUGGGCCACCCUUUGGGGGAGAAUGAAUCGAUACACGGUUUUACUGAUUCGUGCCAGAACCGUCUCUGGAAGGGUACGUAGGAAGCUGGUGAAGCUGCUUCCAGGAAGGGGAGAGCGCUAGGAGGCCAAGGGAGACGGGAGACAGAGACUUUUCACAGGGAAGUCUCUGCAAUUUAAAAUUUUUUCGGCACCACGUACGUUUACUUUCUAAGAAAAGAAGGCGGGGCGGGGGGAGGUGAGCAACAAGCGGAUGAAAUAAACAGAACAAAACCUUCCCUGACCCGCCUCCCUUUCUGGCUUCCUCUCACCUCCACAGAGGUGUCUGUACCUCUGCUUCUCCAGACACGCCGUCUGUCUCUGUUCCCUCCUGCCCCGUUGCCUCAGCCCGACCUGCCCCAGGGCACUGGGCUCCUUGAUUUCUGGUCUCCGACUCCAGUGGCCACUCCGGCCCCACCGACCUCACAGCGGCCUCGCCCUCCUCCCCGACUCUCCGACUCUCCCCCGCACCAGGCACCACGGUUUUUCUCUGCUCCCUCUCUGGGAGCUCCUCCCCAGUCUCUACAUGGUGGAGCUCGCUUCCAGGUCCGUCUGCUCUCCCUGGGCUGCCUCGUCCACCCCAGGGCUUCACUCAUCAUGGGUAUGCAUGUGACUCCCAGACGUGUACCUCUGGCCAGACCUCUCUUCUGAGCUCAGGGCCCCACCUGGAAGCCUCCCAGGGGGCUCCAACCCAAAAUGCCCAAAUGUCACUCGCCAGCCUCCAACAGUUCCAUCCCGCGCGUCCGGGAGGCUCCCUGGCCUGUGCUCCCUCCCAAGCACCCCAAGCGUCUGGCCCCUCUCCCCACCUCCACCAUGCCUCCCCUGGCUGGUCUCUCUUCACGCUCUUCCCCACGUCAGGGCCUGAGCACACACUGUCACCUAAGCCCGGAGUACUCUCCCCCGCUCCCUAGGUCUGUUUCAUCUUGAUUAAUUCUUACCUAUCUUCUAGAGCGUGGAUUCACAUCGUUCCUGCAAGAAGCAUCUCCCGGCCUCCGGACCGACGGAUCCCAACUGAAGGUGAUUUCUGUCCCACCAGGGGACAUCGGGCAACGCCUGGGAGACAUUUUUGGGUGUCACAAAUGGGCCGGGAGUGUGUGUGGCUACUGUCACCCAAUGGGCAGAGGCCAGGGAUGCUCCUGAACGUCCCACAAGGCACGAGACAGCCCCCCCACGACGCGGGAUGACCUGGCCCAGAAUGGCAGUAGCUCUGAGGUGAGAGACCCUGACCUGGACUAAAUCACGGACCCGUGACACCCUCUCAGUACACGCUCUACUUCCGCCAGGGAUCGCCGACCCCGAAUGUGAUUCCAUGCGUAACUGUGCAAAGAUAUUGGCCGAGUUCCAUUUCCUAAGCUUUGGAGGAUGCGUAAGUGAAUCACACUUACCGGCUCACGAUAUGUGAUGUGUAACCGGCUCACGUUUAUCUAUCCCCCACCCCCAGCACCCAGCCCCAAGCGCAGAGACUGAUGGUGUGGAUUGGUAUGACGCGCUCAGGGCGGGGCGGACCCGGACCAGGCAGGGGUGGCGUCCUGGCCUCCGGCUCUUCUGGGCCCUCUGUGCCACCCCAAGGUCGCCCCUUCCGUGUGGUCCCACUGCUCUGCACCCCACUCCGACCCUCGUCCCCACCCUAGGGGUCCUAAGAGACCCUUCCAGACCAUCGGGCCCCAGCUUGCCCCUUGGUCAUCUUGCCAAACAGGCCACUCCCCCGUCAGCUGACCCAGGCAGGGGCAGGCACCUCGGUUCACCCAGCUGCCGAAGCAGGUCCACCCUGAGACCUGCUCCCUCCAUGCACACCGGCGACCCGGCUUCAGCGGUACCCAGUUUUGACCCACCUGGCCCUCGCCUUAAGCGUCUUUCCCUCCCAGUCCGCCCGUGACACCACCCGCACGGACAUCCUUCUGGCUGGUAUCACUUCCCGAUUAAAAACCCCUUCAGCACCUCUUACGGCCCAUAGCCAGGAGCCCAAGUUCGCCAGCCUGGUCCACCCACCUUUCGAGGUCCACGACCCUCUCCACGGCCCCCUCGCCAGCCACACCCAGCUUCAGCAAGCACACGCACCACUGUGCUUCACGGCACGGGUCGGCCCUUCCUUCCCCUGCUCUGUGCUCUCCCGCCUCUCCUCUACCUGGAUGCUUGGAUAUCUCGUGUUCACCGUUAACAUCCACUUCUGACACCUCUUCCUCACCAGUACGGCGACGCCUCAAAAGGUUAACCGCAGAAUUUCCAUCUGACCCGGCAAGUCUGCUGCUGGGAAUAUAUACAGAAGAACUGGGAGCGGGGACCCAAACGGAUUAUCUGCACACCCACGUUCAUGGCUAUACUACUGGCAACGGUCAAAAGGCAGCAGCAACCCAAAUGUCCACCAACAGGUGAAUGGAGGAAGAAAAUGUGGUAUAUACUUAACGGUGGGAUACUAUUCAGCCCUUAUUUUUUUUUAAUUGUCUUUAAUGUUUAUUUAUUUUUGAGAGAGAGAGAGAGAGAGAGAGAGACGGAGCACGAGCAGGGGAGGGGCAGAGAGAGAGGGAGACACAGAAGCUGAAGCAGGUUCCGGGCUCUGAGCUGUCAGCACAGAUCCCGACGUGGGGCUCGAACCCACGAACCGUGGGAUCGCGACUGGAGCCGAAGUCUGGCGCUUAACCUACUGAGCCACCCAGGCGCCCUGCUAUUUGGCCUUUAUAGGGAAGGAAAUUCUGACGCACCUAAUGAACUUUAAAACAUGAUGCUAAGUGAAGAGCCCAGAUGGGGGGCUCACAUGGCGUGUGAUCCUGCUUACACGUGGGACCCAGAACGGUCCGAUUCACAGAGGCAGAAAGAACAGUGGCAACCAGGGGCUGCAGGAUGGAGGCGACGGGGAGUUAGUGUUUAACAGGUUUAGACUUUCAGUUAGUAUUCAGUGGGUACGGAGUUUAUAGGGCACACCUGUGGCUCUGCAAUUAAGUACUGAAUCUUUGUCCUCUCGGACUGAUGGUGGGGUUCCUGAGGUUGAGCCCCAUGUCCGGCUCCCUGCCGACAGUGGGAGAUUGGGAUUCUCUCUUUUCCUCUCUCUCUCUCUCCACCCCUCUCCCCCACUCUCACUCCCUUUCUCUCUCUCAAACUAAAUAAGCUUUUAAAUAAAAAUAGUAAUAACAUCGUUGUGCACACUUGAAAGCUGUCAAGAGCAGCUCACAAAAGUCAACCUUGGGGGCAUCGCGGUUUGUGAGUUCGAGCCCCGCGUCGGGCUCUGUGCCGACAGCUCGGAGCCUAGAGCCCGCUUCGGAUUCUGUGUCUCCUCUCUCUCUCUCUC